rnacentral:rRNA from 1 species
GAUGAACGCUGGCGGCGUGCCUAAUACAUGCAAGUCGAGCGAACAGACGAGGAGCUUGCUCCUCUGACGUUAGCGGCGGACGGGUGAGUAACACGUGGAUAACCUACCUAUAAGACUGGGAUAACUUCGGGAAACCGGAGCUAAUACCGGAUAACAUGUUGAACCGCAUGGUUCAACAGUGAAAGACGGUUUUGCUGUCACUUAUAGAUGGAUCCGCGCCGCAUUAGCUAGUUGGUAAGGUAACGGCUUACCAAGGCAACGAUGCGUAGCCGACCUGGGAGGGUGAUCGGCCACACUGGAACUGAGACACGGUCCAGACUCCUACGGGAGGCAGCAGUAGGGAAUCUUCCGCAAUGGGCGAAAGCCUGACGGAGCAACGCCGCGUGAGUGAAGAAGGUCUUCGGAUCGUAAAACUCUGUUAUUAGGGAAGAACAAAUGUGUAAGUAACUAUGCACGUCUUGACGGUACCUAAUCAGAAAGCCACGGCUAACUACGUG